AGGGUUUGAUUCUGGCUCAGGAUGAACGCUAGCGACAGGCUUAACACAUGCAAGUCGAGGGGCAGCACAGGUAGCAAUACCGGGUGGCGACCGGCGCACGGGUGAGUAACGCGUAUGCAACUUACCUAUCAGAGGGGGAUAACCCGGCGAAAGUCGGACUAAUACCGCAUGAAGCAGGGGCCCCGCAUGGGGAUAUUUGCUAAAGAUUCAUCGCUGAUAGAUAGGCAUGCGUUCCAUUAGGCAGUUGGCGGGGUAACGGCCCACCAAACCGGCGAUGGAUAGGGGUUCUGAGAGGAAGGUCCCCCACAUUGGUACUGAGACACGGACCAA
rnacentral:rRNA from 1 species